rnacentral:tRNA from 1 species
CGGCGUAGCUCAAUCGGUAGAGCAACCGCCUUGUAAGCGGUAGGUUGGGAGUUCGAGUCUCUCCGCCGG